CUUUUUUGUAGUAAUGGCCGAUGCCCUCCACAGGAACCUGGCCGCCUCCCCUCAGGAGAUCUGGAGCCGGUGAAUCCUGCAUCGACCCCAACACCCCUCCCGCAUCGGCCGCAAGCAGGAGCCGCCGGCAGCACCCUCUAGCGUCGACCGCAAGAAGCACAAGCAAAAGUUGCUUGGAUUUUUCAUAGGCACAGAUCUGGUGCUACCUUGUGGCUGGACUUGAGAGAAGUGCUAGAACGUGUGACUGGGAGAAGCAGGGCGGCAUGGAUUUUUAGAUCCCGUUGAACAAAUGCUCGUAUAAUCUCCACAAGUUUAUCUGGACAUUGAAGACUCCAUAUUGUCUCAUGAGAAGGUUACUAAAGGCAGCAAAAAUCUAAGGCGUUUGGUGAGGCUAUCUCUUAAUUGCGGCAAUAUGAUCAAGGUGCUCACGGUGGCUAUUUUCGUUAGUGAUAAAAGAUUUAGGUGUCCGAGCAAAUCAUAUGAGUUACGUGUUGUACAAGCCAACGUCUUAGUUUUGUAGGUACUUGAGUGUAGCAUGGUUAUUGUCUUAGUAUUUCGUGUGAAAUAUUGUACAACUACAAAUGUUGAUAGUUUUAAUGAAAAUAAUGAGCAAUAUUUGUCAAUUGUGAGCUUUGUUCGUUUAUGU